rnacentral:rRNA from 1 species
UAUUGGACAAUGGGGGCAACCCUGAUCCAGCCAUGCCGCGUGAGGGAUGAAGGCCUUCGGGUUGUAAACCUCUUUUAGCAGGGACGAUGAUGACGGUACCUGCAGAAUAAGCCACGGCUAACUUCGUGCCAGCAGCCGCGGUAAUACGAAGGUGGCUAGCGUUGUUCGGAUUUACUGGGCGUAAAGGGAGCGUAGGCGGUGAGAUAAGUCAGAUGUGAAAGCCCAAGGCUUAACCUUGGAAUUGCAUUUGAAACUGUUUUGCUCGAGUGUGGGAGAGGAUAGCGGAAUUCCAAGUGUAGAGGUGAAAUUCGUAGAUAUUUGGAAGAACACCAGGGCGAAGGCGGCUAUCUGACCACAACUGACGCGAAGCCGAAA